UGAUGAGGUGACAAAGAGAUUCUCAGC
rnacentral:piRNA from 1 species